CAGUCGCCGCGGUAAUACGAAGGGUGCAAGCGUUACUCGGAAUUACUGGGCGUAAAGCGUGCGUAGGUGGUGGUUUAAGUCCGUUGUGAAAGCCCUGGGCUCAACCUGGGAAUUGCAGUGGAUACUGGAUCACUAGAGUGUGGUAGAGGAUAGUGGAAUUUCCGGUGUAGCAGUGAAAUGCGUAGAGAUCGGAAGGAACAUCUGUGGCGAAGGCGACUAUCUGGGCCAACACUGACACUGAGGCACGAAAGCGUGGGGAGCAAACAGGAUUAGAUACCCGCGUAGUCCCUGUCUCUUAUAC
rnacentral:rRNA from 1 species